ensembl:lncRNA
CUUCACAGUAAUGAGCCCUCUUGCUCUAUUAAUUCCUGUAAGAGCAGGUUGUUAUAAAGAGCUUGGUACCUGCUCUCACCGCCUUGCUCUCUUGCUUUCUCUCUCACUGCAUGCUCUGUGCACAUGCCUGCUCCUCUUUGCCUUCUGUCAUGAGUGAGGACAGCCUGCAGCCUUCCCCAGAAGCAGAUGCUGGUGCCAUGCCUCUUGUACAGCCUGCAUAACUGUGAGUCAAAUAGAUCUCUUUUCUUUAGCAUUUACUACAACUCCAGUUUUCCUUGACAGCAACACUGAAAGGACUAAGACAAUGGCUCUUCCAAAGGAAGAAGGAUUAACCUGUCCUGGCUAUCCUGGCUGUCACCUACAUUCCAGGAUGAAGAAAUAUGGUGAUAUACUCAGGCCACUGGAAUGGACUCCAGGACAGCAAUCGUAUUCUGCUUGUAUGCCCCCGGGGAAACAAUAAUGCCAGCUGCUUAUGUCUAGAAAAGGACAUGACUUUGAUAAAUGAAAAGAAAGUUCAUGGUAAGUAGUUUUUAUGUACCAUAUUUUAGAAAGUGUUUUCUUUUGGUGUUUUUUAGAUAUGAUAUCAGC